UCUAUUUACCUAGUGCACUGGUUUAAAGAUGAACUAACAAACAUCACUCUGAAUACCUCUGGCAAUGGUAAUUAAAAUGUUUUACAGUGCGGAUUAGAAGAUAAUCCAACAUAAGACAAAAAGAAAAAAAAUCGUACAAAUACGCACGCAGACACAUGCAUACAUACACAAUACACACACACACACACACAGAGACAAAACCUCAUAUCACACAUAAACACGUGCAAAAAAAAAACGGAACGAAAACGAGGCCAACAAUGAGUAGCUUUGAUCUGUUAAAAAUAGCAACCAAAUCUCCCGUCAAACUACAGCAUACCUUCUUAAAAAAUGAAGGAACAAGUCAAUAAAAAGUGACCUCUCUGUGGUAGUACAAUCUGCCAAAAAUAGCAACUUAAUUCCUUUUGUGCUACAACAUGUUAUCUUCAAAUAGGAAGGAUAAAGACCACAAAGAGGACAGUCUACGUGGUAUUUUUUAAAAUAGAUAUAGCUAAGACUACAUCAUCUAACCAUGUCAUUUCGUUAUACAAGAUGUUCAGAUUUGAUUUAAGGGAGAUUUACCUGCUAUUUCUAACAGAUCAAGCAUUGCGUGUCUAAGGAUCACAUCUACUCGUGUAUGCGUAUGUGUUUCACUGUAGCGAAACGACAUGGAUUAGUUUCUAUGGAGAUUUGACAGCUAUUUCUAGCAGAGCAGACAUUGUGCAUGAAGGGAUUAAAUUAACGCGCGUGUCCCUUUGGUUGCUAUUCCGGAUCUUUACUGUUUGGCUCAUACUUUUUGAAAUUUAAAAAUUUACUGAAACACGAAAGAUUCGCUAUUUCUAACAGCUCGAACAGGACCACGCAGUCUCUCUCCCAUCCCCUUCUUUCUCCUACAUGGGACCCUAGUCACGCUGCUACCUUAAACAUAAGCGUUGCGCGAUGUUAAAGGGUUAGGUUACCUCGUGCUAGUCCUUAAAACAUGCGGACAAAGCCCGUUAACAAGCAAGCAAAAGACUGCUAUAUAUAGUAGCAAAAUCUCCCUCGAAUCAUACUCUACCGUCUUAUAUGUUAUAAAGAAACUCAUUAAUGCUGUUAUGUUUCUUCAAGUGUAUCACACAUUUAGACAU